rnacentral:rRNA from 1 species
GAUGAACGCUGGCGGCGUGCCUAAUACAUGCAAGUCGAGCGAACAGAUGAGGAGCUUGCUCCUCUGACGUUAGCGGCGGACGGGUGAGUAACACGUGGAUAACCUACCUAUAAGACUGGGAUAACUUCGGGAAACCGGAGCUAAUACCGGAUAAUAUAUUGCACCGCAUGGUUCAAUAGUGAAAGACGGUUUUGCUGUCACUUAUAGAUGGAUCCGCGCCGCAUUAGCUAGUUGGUAAGGUAACGGCUUACCAAGGCAACGAUGCGUAGCCGACCUGAGAGGGUGAUCGGCCACACUGGAACUGAGACACGGACCAGACUCCUACGGGAGGCAGCAGUAGGGAAUCUGCCGCAAUGGGCGAAAACCUGACGGAGCAACGCCGAGUGUGUGACGAAGGUCUUCGGAUCGUAAAACUCUGUUAUUAGGGAAGAACAAAUGUGGAAGUAACGAAGCACGUCUUGACGGUACCUGAUCAGAAAGCCACGGCUAACUACGUG